rnacentral:rRNA from 1 species
AAACCAGCACCUCAAGUGGUCAGGAGGAUUAUUGGGCCUAAAGCAUCCGUAGCCUGUUCUGUAAGUUUUCGGUUAAAUCCACUAGCUCAACUAGUGGGCUGCCGAAAAUACUGUAGAACUAGGGAGUGGGAGAGGUAGACGGUAUUCGGUAGGAAGGGGUAAAAUCCUUUGAUCUAUUGAGGACCACCUGUGGCGAAGGCGGUCUACCAGAACACGUUCGACGGUGAGGGAUGAAAGCUGGGGGAGCAAACCGGAUUAGAAACCCCGGUAGUCC